GCCUGGGUGGCUUAGUCGGUUGAGCGUCUGACUUCAGCUCAGGUCAUGAUUGUGAGUUCGAGCCCCACGUCGGGCU
rnacentral:tRNA from 1 species